UAAGUACUAGUGCCGCAGGAGUGUGCUUGAGUAAUUUCUCCUGCUGCUCAAGUGCUUAUC
rnacentral:pre_miRNA from 1 species